GCCAAAUGAGGUGACUCAUGGUUCUACCCAUUUCCAAUGAGGCAUCUCAUGGGUCGAUCUAUUUUGGGCGAAUACUCGUAACGGCUAGUUUUCAGCCCACUUUUGGUACAUUUAAUGUACAUCAAAUACACUCCAACGGCUCUUAACCGAUACUAAAACACUCUCAAGAUAAAAUAAAGACAAUAAAUGCUCUCUAGAGGUAAAAAAUUAAAUAAGAAACAAGCAUUCAAGCUUAAAUCCGUGAAAGAGAAAGAAAACCC
rnacentral:lncRNA from 1 species